rnacentral:rRNA from 1 species
CACUCCUGCGGGAGGCAGCAGUGGGGAAUUUUGGACAAUGGGCGAAAGCCUGAUCCAGCAAUGCCGCGUGAGUGAAGAAGGCCUUCGGGUUGUAAAGCUCUUUUGUCAGGGAAGAAACGGUGAGAGCUAAUAUCUUUUGCUAAUGACGGUACCUGAAGAAUAAGCACCGGCUAACUACGUGCCAGCAGCCGCGGUAAUACGUAGGGUGCAAGCGUUAAUCGGAAUUACUGGGCGUAAAGCGUGCGCAGGCGGUUUUGUAAGUCUGAUGUGAAAUCCCCGGGCUCAACCUGGGAAUUGCAUUGGAGACUGCAAGGCUAGAAUCUGGCAGAGGGGGGUAGAAUUCCACGUGUAGCAGUGAAAUGCGUAGAUAUGUGGAGGAACACCGAUGGCGAAGGCAGCCCCCUGGGUCAAGAUUGACGCUCAUGCACGAAAGCGUGGGGAGCAAACAGGAUUAGAAACCCUAGUAGUCCCAUGAU